UGAAAGUUGAAUGUUACAUACCUCCUCCAUCCCAUUCCUGUCACUCACAAACUUAAAUAUGGUACAACUAGAAUGAGAUGCAGGGAUAUUAGAUGGUCUCUUGCAUUUCUUUUGGAAACAAUAAACCUCCAACCUCCAUAUAAAUAUAUUAACCGUAAUUCUGCAGUUUCAUGAAAUGAAAUUUAAAUAUUCUUUAUGUCUAAGAUAGAAAUGUGGGAUGAUUAACUAUACUGAGUUAAUCACUUUAGUAUUACAAGUUAAAGAAUUCAAAUAUUUCUAUACUACAUCUCAGACUUCAUUUAUUUUGGUCUUAACUGAAAAUAGUUAUUGAUCAACUCUUAUACAUUUCUUAUACAGUCUCAUGUUAACCUUGACUUUAUCAAGCACCACACUUGUAGAAAAUAUGUAGCUUGAGGAAGACAUGCCAUGGUGAAGUUGUACAGGUUUUGAACUAGUUAAAUACCAAAAACAAAAACCUCAAAUAAGGAAGACAUUUUGACUACUGGACAGGUUGUCUGACAUUGAAAUUAUAGUUGGU
rnacentral:lncRNA from 1 species